GACGAACGCUGGCGGCGUGCUUAACACAUGCAAGUCGUACGGUAAGGCCCUUUCGGGGGUACACGAGUGGCGAACGGGUGAGUAACACGUGAGUAACCUGCCCACAACUUUGGGAUAACGCUAGGAAACUGCUGCUAAUACUGGAUAUGUGCUCCUGCUGCAUGGUGGGGGUUGGAAAGCUCCGGCGGUUGUGGAUGGACUCGCGGCCUAUCAGCUUGUUGGUGGGGUAGUGGCCUACCAAGGCGGCGACGGGUAGCCGGCCUGAGAGGGUGACCGGCCACAUUGGGACUGAGAUACGGCCCAGACUCCUACGGGAGGCAGCAGUGGGGAAUAUUGCACAAUGGGCGCAAGCCUGAUGCAGCAACGCCGCGUGCGGGAUGACGGCCUUCGGGUUGUAAACCGCUUUCAGCAGGGACGAAGCUUUUUGUGACGGUACCUGCAGAAGAAGCACCGGCUAACUACGUG
rnacentral:rRNA from 1 species